rnacentral:lncRNA from 10 species
CAGGAGCAUAACACAAAUUGGCAGAGCAGGACCUUUUUCUCCUCCUUCCUUUGGACAUCAGACUCCAGGUUCUUCAGCUUGCAGACUCUGGGACUUGCCCCAGCAGCCUCCCAAGGGGGCUCUUGGGCCUGAGGCCUGCACUGUCAGCUUCCCUGGUUCUAAGGCUUUGGACAGAAACUGAGCCACACUACCAGCUUGGAGCCAUGCUAUCGCUUCUAAGAUUCUCCAGCCUGCACUUGGCCUAUUGUGGGACUUCGUCUCUGUGACUCCGUGAGCCAAUUCCUCCUAAUAAAUCUCCUUCCGUUUAUCCUACUGAUUGUAUCUCUGGAGAACACUGAGUAAUGCAGGUACCCUUGGGCAGUAAACAACCUGUCAAACAAUACCCAGCAGACUUGGAAGGCACAGUGACUUCACAGAGAGAAGAUUGUACUGGAAAGGCCUAGAAUUGAGGGCAAUGGAAGGGUUUUCUUUCUCCCCUCUAAUGUAUAACCAAGCUUCCUACUCAAACCCUAUGUGAUAAAAAAGGAGAAUCAAGCGGAACCUGCAUCAGUAUCUAAUCAACAGACUUUUUUCCCUCCUAGAAAGGGCAUUUAAAUAUCAAUUCAAGCUAAGAAAACUGAGAAACUCCAG